UACGUAGGGGGCAAGCGUUGUCCGGAUUUAUUGGGCGUAAAGAGCGUGUAGGCGGCUCGAUAAGUCUGCUGUGAAAGUCCAGGGCUCAACCCUGGAAGGCCGGUGGAAACUGUCGGGCUAGAGUCCGGAAGAGGCGAGUGGAAUUCCCGGUGUAGCGGUGAAAUGCGCAGAUAUCGGGAGGAACACCAAUUGCGAAGGCAGCUCGCUGGGACGUCACUGACGCUGAGACGCGAAAGCGUGGGGAGCAAACAGG
rnacentral:rRNA from 1 species